rnacentral:rRNA from 1 species
AACGAACGCUGGCGGCAUGCCUAACACAUGCAAGUCGAACGAGACCUUCGGGUCUAGUGGCGCACGGGUGCGUAACGCGUGGGAACCUGCCCUUAGGUUCGGAAUAACUCCCCGAAAGGGGUGCUAAUACCGGAUAAUGUCUUCGGACCAAAGAUUUAUCGCCUUUGGAUGGGCCCGCGUUGGAUUAGCUAGUUGGUAGGGUAAAAGCCUACCAAGGCGACGAUCCAUAGCUGGUCUGAGAGGAUGAUCAGCCACACUGGGACUGAGACACGGCCCAGACUCCUACGGGAGGGAGGAGUGGGGGAUAUUGGAACAUGGGGGGAAGGCUGAUCCCGGAAUGCCGGGGGAGUGAUUAAGGGCUUAGGGUUGUAAAGGUCUUUUACCCGGGAUGAUAAUGACAGUACCGGGAGAAUAAGCCCCGGCUAACUCCGUG